rnacentral:rRNA from 1 species
AGAGUUUGAUCAUGGCUCAGGAUGAACGCUGGCGGCGUGCCUAACCCAUGUAAGUCGGGCGAUCUGUUCGCAAGAGCAGAGAGCGGCGGAAGGGUGAGUAACACGUAGGAGACCUGCCUCAUCGCAGGGAACAACCCCGCGAAAGCGGGGCUAAUACCCAAGAGGGUCGGUGGUUCGCUCCACCGGUCAGAGUGCCUGCGCAAGCGGGCGCGUGAUGAGAGGGUCCUGCGGCCCAUCAGCUAGUUGGUAGGGUAGUGGCCUACCAAGGCAACGACGGGUAGGGGGUCUGAGAGGACGAUCCCCCACACUGGAACUGAAACACGGUCCAGACGCCUACGGGUGGCAGCAGGGAGGAAUAUUGGGCAAUGGGCGAGAGCCUGACCCAGCAACGCCGCGUGGAGGACGAAGGCCUUCGGGUCGUAAACUCCUUUUGAGGGAGACGAGCAAGGACGGUAUCCCUCGAAUAAGCCACGGCUAACUACGUGCCAGCCGCCGCGGUAAUAC